rnacentral:rRNA from 1 species
GAACGCGAAGAACCUUACCUGGUCUUGACAUGUACGGAAUCCUUCAGAGACGGAGGAGUGCCUUCGGGAGCCGUAACACAGGUGCUGCAUGGCUGUCGUCAGCUCGUGUCGUGAGAUGUUGGGUUAAGUCCCGCAACGAGCGCAACCCUUGUCAUUAGUUGCCAUCAUUUAGUUGGGCACUCUAAUGAGACUGCCGGUGACAAGCCGGAGGAAGGUGGGGAUGACGUCAAGUCCUCAUGGCCCUUAUGACCAGGGCUUCACACGUCAUACAAUGGUCGGUACAGAGGGUAGCCAAGCCGCGAGGUGGAGCCAAUCUCACAAAACCGAUCGUAGUCCGGAUUGCACUCUGCAACUCGAGUGCAUGAAGUCGGAAUCGCUAGUAAUCGCAGGUCAGCAUACUGCGGUGAAUACGUUCCCGGGUCUUGUACACACC